rnacentral:rRNA from 1 species
UUUAUUAGAACUUACAAUCAUGGAUAACUGUGGUAAUUCUAGAGCUAAUACACGCACAAAAACUUCAACUGAAUUGGUUGAAGUGCUUUUAUUAGAACAAAAACCGAACGGCGUUUGGCGAAUGUUGAACGUCGAAACUGUUUGGUGAAUCUGAAUAACUAUUUCUGAUCGCAUGGUCUAGCACCGGCGACAUCACUUUCAAGUGUCUGCCUUAUCAACCUUCGAUGGUAGUCUAUGCGACUACCAUGGUGAUAACGGGUAACGGAGAAUCAGGGUUCGACUCCGGAGAGGGAGCCUGAGAAACGGCUACCACAUCCAAGGAAGGCAGCAGGCGCGCAAAUUACCCACUCCCAGCUUGGGGAGGUAGUGACGAAAAAUAACGAGACGAUUCUCGUUUGAGAAACGUUAUCGAAAUGAGUACGCUUUACACACGCUAACGAGUAGCAAUUGGAGGGCAAGUCUGGUGCCAGCAGCCGCGGUAAUUCCAGCUCCAAUAGCGUAUAUUAAAGUUGCUGCGGUUAAAACGCUCGUAGUUGAAUUGUGGUCUUAGACAACAGUCCCCCUACAUAGGUGUGGCACGGUUGCUCGAGAUCUUCAUUCGUGGUUGCUGUUGUUGCUCUUCAUUGAGUGUCAAUGGUGCCUCGAGAUUUUACUUUGAAAAAAUUAGAGUGCUCAAAGCAGGUUGUGAUGCCUGAAUAAUGGUGCAUGGAAUAAUAGAAUACGAUCUCGGUUCUAUUUUGUUGGUUUUCGAACCGGAGAUAAUGAUUGAAAGGAACAGACGGGGGCAUUCGUAUUGCUGCGUUAGAGGUGAAAUUCUUGGAUCGCAGCAAGAUGAACAAUUGCGAAAGCAUUUGCCAAGAAUGUUUUCAUUAAUCAAGAACGAAAGUUAGAGGUUCGAAGGCGAUCAGAUACCGCCCUAGUUCUAACGGUAAACUAUGCCAACCAGCGAUUCGCCGAAGUUCAUUUAAGACUCGGCGAGCAGCUUCCGGGAAACCAAAGUGUUUCGGUUCCGGGGGAAGUAUGGUUGCAAAGCUGAAACUUAAAGGAAUUGACGGAAGGGCACCACCAGGAGUGGAGCCUGCGGCUUAAUUUGACUCAACACGGGAAAACUCACCCGGCCCGGACACUGGAAGGAUUGACAGAUUGACAGCUCUUUCUUGAUUCAGUGGGUAGUGGUGCAUGGCCGUUCUUAGUUGGUGGAGCGAUUUGUCUGGUUAAUUCCGAUAACGAACGAGACUCUACCCUAUUAAAUAGUGACAGUAUUGUAUUUUUUGUGCUGAUCACUUCUUAGAGGGACUGGCAAAUUGAAAGCUGCACGAAAAAGAGCAAUAACAGGUCUGUGAUGCCCUUCGAUGUCCGGGGCUGCACGCGCGCUACAAUGAAAGCGUCAACGUGAGUUACGUCCUUACCUGAAAAGGUUUGGCAAUCGAAUGAAACGUUUUCUUGAAUGGAAUAGGGAAUUGCAAUUGUUUCCCUUGAACGAGGAAUUCCCAGUAAGCGUGAGUCAUUAGCUCGCGUUGAUUACGUCCCUGCCCUUUGUACACACCGCCCGUCGCUACUACCGAUUGGAUGAUUUAGUGAGGUGUUUUGACUGGCGCCAGUAGUCGGAUGUAUUCGGCUUCGCGCCGGGAAAUUUCCCAAACCAAAUCAUCUAGAGGAAGUAAAAGUCG